rnacentral:rRNA from 1 species
CCUACGGGUGGCUGCAGUCGAGAAUCUUUCACAAUGGGGGAAACCCUGAUGGUGCGACGCCGCGUGGGGGAAUGAAGGUCUUCGGUUUGUAAACCCCUGUCAUGUGGGAGCAAAUUAACAAGAUAGUACCACACGAGGAAGAGACGCCUAACUCUGUGCCAGCAGCCGCGGUAAUACCGAGGACUCAAGCGUUGUUCGGAAUCACGGGGCGUAAAGCGUGCGUAGGCGGUUUAGGAAGUCGUGUGUGAAAGGCGCGGGCUCAACCCGCGGACUGCACAUGAUACUGCGAGACGAGAGGAAUGGAGGGGGAACCGGAAUUCUCGGUGUAGCAGUGAAAUGCGUAGAUAUCGAGAGGAACACUCGUGGCGAAGGCGGGUUCCUGGACAUUAACUGACGCUGAGGCACGAAGGCCAGGGGAGCGAAAGGGAUGAGAUACCCUUGUAGUC